UUGUUACUGGAGACAGACCACCUCCUAUUAGUAACUUCACUCUAACACCAGUUACUAAUAACACUGCGGUAAUGUUCGGAGGUGAUACUGAUAAUGGAUUCAGUAAUAAACUGUAUAUGAUAAGUUUCACUAAGACAUCAAUGGAUAUAUUAGAAGUACCUAAUCCUGGAGGAUCAGUACAUUGGCCUGAGAGAAGAUUUGCUCAUUCCAGUGUACUGAUUACCACUAGUUCAGGACCACACUUACUAGUGGUGGGUGGAUGGCCUGCCUAUGAUGUAUGGUUACUGGACA